rnacentral:rRNA from 1 species
UACAGAGGGGGCAAGCGUUAUUCGGAAUUAUUGGGCGUAAAGAGCUCGUAGGCGGUUUGUCGCGUCGAAUGUGAAAACCCGGGGCUCAACCCCGGGCCUGCAUUCGAUACGGGCAGACUAGAGUUCGGUAGGGGAGUCUGGAAUUCCUGGUGUAGCGGUGAAAUGCGCAGAUAUCAGGAGGAACACCGGUGGCGAAGGCGGGACUCUGGGCCGAUACUGACGCUGAGGAGCGAAAGCGUGGGGAGCGAACAGG